rnacentral:rRNA from 1 species
GAUCCUGCCGGACCCUACUGCUAUCGGGGUGGGACUAANACAUGUUAGUCGAGCGCCUUCAGGCUAUGGUGAGGGCGCGGCGAACGGCUCAGUAACACGUGGCCAACCUACCCUUAGGACGGGGACAACCCCGGGAAACUGGGGCUAAUCCCCGAUAGGUGAGGACGCCUGGGAUGGUCUUUCACCCAAAGGAUGUUGAAAGCAUGCUUUUCGGCGUUGCCUAAGGAUGGAGCCGCGGCCGAUCAGGUUGUUGGUGAGGUAACGGCUCACCAAGCCUAUAACCGGUACGGGCCAUGAGAGUGGGAGCCCGGAGAUGGGCACUGAGACAAGGGCCCAGGCCCUACGGGGCGCAGCAGUUGCGAAACCUCCACAAUGUACGAAAGUGCGAUGGGGCUAACCCGAGUGCCGUCCGCUGAGGAGGGCU